GCAAACUUGGUCAUUUAGAGGAAGUAAAAGUCGUAACAAGGUUUCCGUAGGUGAACCUGCGGAAGGAUCAUUAUCGAGUUUUGAACGGGUUGUAGCUGGCCUCAUACGGGGCAUGUGCACGCCUGGCUCAUCCACUCUUCAACCUCUGUGCACUUAUUGUAGAUCGGUGAUAAGGUCGAGUUCUUUCACGAGUUCUUGACUGGAAAAACCUUUCUACGUUUUUACCACAAACGCUUCAGUUAUAGAAUGUUUAUCUGCGUAUAACGCAUCUUUAUACAACUUUCAGCAACGGAUCUCUUGGCUCUCGCAUCGAUGAAGAACGCAGC
rnacentral:misc_RNA from 1 species